UACGAAGGGGGGCGAGCGUUGUUCGGAAUUACUGGGCGUAAAGGGCGCGUAGGCGGGCGACCCAAGUCAGAUGUGAAAGUCCUGGGCUUAACCUGGGGACUGCAUUUGAUACUGGGUUGCUUGAAUUGGGAGAGGAUAGCGGAAUUCCCAGUGUAGAGGUGAAAUUCGUAGAUAUUGGGAAGAACACCGGUGGCGAAGGCGGCUAUCUGGACCGACAUUGACGCUGAGGCGCGAAAAGCGUGGGGGAGCAAACAGG
rnacentral:rRNA from 1 species